rnacentral:rRNA from 1 species
AUGAGACUGCUUCGGGUACUUGAUCUUGAGGACACGGCGUCAGGUGUAACAAAUGGUGUCCUCGAGCAGAUUGGGAAAUUACUUCCUCGUCUCAAGUUUCUGUCUGUACGAGGAUGCAAAGAAAUUACUCGUAUGCCAGACUCGUUGGGUGGCUUGAGACAGCUGCAGACUCUGGAUGUUAGCCACACCAAAAUAACCAAGUUGUCAUGUGCUAUCAUCAAACUGGUGAAGCUUCAGUACCUGUGUGCAGGCACCACUCAAGACGGCGAUGCACAGCCAGUAGCAGCUGACCCUGAUGGCAUGAGCAGAAGCCAAGCAGCAGCGGUUGACCAUGAUGGCAUGAGCAGUAGCCAAGCAGCAGCAGCUGACCGCGAUGACAUGAGCAGAAGCCAUACAGCAGUAGCAGUACCAGCCAUGGACGGUGAUGUGACGAGCACAAUCGAACCAGCAGCAAGAGCACCAGCCGAGGGUGAAAAUUCAUCGAGUACACCAAUGCAAUGGAGGAGUAAGACCGAACGCAACUUGGUGCAAUCCUAUUCUUGCAGCUGGUCGUCCAAGAAGAAGAAGAUGAUGAAGAAGAAGAAGCAGUUUGAUUAUGGCGGUGGUGUCAAGGUUCCUGCUGCAGGUUUUGGGAAUCUAACGGCCUUGCAUAGUCUUGGUAUUGUGAAUGUGAGUGGUGCAGGCGGGAAGGCCAUCCUCAAGGAUAUGGAGAAGCUUACCCAGUUGCACAAUCUCUGUGUGUCAGGCAUCAGCCAGAAAAACUGGGGCAACUUGUGUUCAGUCAUCUCGGGUCACGGCCAUCUAGAGUCCUUGUCAGUGCGACUCGACUAUGAUGAGUCUAAGCAGGAGGGUGGUCUGUGUUGUUUAGAUGGCAUCUCCGAGCUACCAAAGACACUAGACAGCCUCAACUUUUAUGGGGGAAAUGUCUGUGCAUCCCCAUCCUGGAUCUUGAGGAAUCCUCGGUUUUUUCAAGGUUUUUGGGGCUUGUUCAGGAACAAUCUUGUACUUACUCGUAUUGAGUUGACAGUAUCAACGCAAGAGGACAUAGACAGUCUUGGUAGAAUUGACUGUGCAAACUUGUUUGCCCAUCUUUGUGUCAAGCCGAUUCAAGGCAGCUUGCUCCGUUAUGGUUGCGUUGGGUUAUUUGGCAUGCCCUGCGGAUCCGCCACAGUCAAGAUCGAAUGCAACAGCAACGAUUUAACGCUGGUUUUUGGACCUCAUUCAACGGAACAUGUGGAGGUGCUGGAGGUUAACUGCUUUUCUGCUACUGAGUCGUCUUUGGUGCUUUAUGGGCUAGAGGAACUAAGGAAUCUCAAGGAAGUGUGCCUCAAGGGUUCCUACAGCGACCAACUCAGGCAGUAUUUGCAGCAGGAAGUUGACAGGCUUGAAUACAACAAUCAGAAACCUGUGUUGAAGCUGGAGCCCCAACACUCAGCUCCAUCUACUCCUUGUGCGAGCCUGAAGCGCCUAUUUACAUGA